rnacentral:tRNA from 1 species
GGCGGCCUGUCAGAGUGGCUUAAUGUGCCCGGCUUGAAUCCGGGUCCUCGGCAACGGGGCAGCGGUUCGAAUCCGCUGGCCGCCU